UGUUGGAAGCAUAACGUUCAAAGACACGACUGAGUUGGAGAAACGCGGUUUGCAAACUUUACGACUUGAUACCCCAAUGUCUCAUCAAGAUUCAGCACUUACAGAACAUCCUCCUACAGGAUGGUGAUGGGGAUUGUCACAACACGAGGGGUUAUACCUGCAGCCUGUGCAAAGAUCGUCCUGGAGGGAACAGUGGUCCUAACGGAUGUGGAGGUUCCCAGAGCCUGUGCCUUGCUAAUGGGGCUGAUAAGUUUCCUGAUUUAUUUUAUGAAUGCUACAUUUUUGUUUACUAUUAAAAUGUAUAUACACUCCUGUUACUGUAAGCAAGAUGC